GAUGAACGCUGGCGGCGUGCCUAAUACAUGCAAGUCGAGCGAACAGACGAGGAGCUUGCUCCUCUGACGUUAGCGGCGGACGGGUGAGUAACACGUGGAUAACCUACCUAUAAGACUGGGAUAACUUCGGGAAACCGGAGCUAAUACCGGAUAAUAUAUUGAACCGCAUGGUUCAAUAGUGAAAGACGGUUUUGCUGUCACUUAUAGAUGGAUCCGCGCCGCAUUAGCUAGUUGGUAAGGUAACGGCUUACCAAGGCAACGAUGCGUAGCCGACCUGAGAGGGUGAUCGGCCACACUGGAACUGAGACACGGUCCAGACUCCUACGGGAGGCAGCAGUAGGGAAUCGUCCGCGAUGGGCGAAAGCCUGACGGAGCAACGCCGCGUGAGUGAUGAAGGUCUUCGGAUCGUAAAACUCUGUUAUUAGGGAAGAACAAAUGUGUAAGUAACUAUGCACGUCUUGACGGUACCUAAUCAGAAAGCCACGGCUAACUACGUG
rnacentral:rRNA from 1 species